rnacentral:rRNA from 1 species
AGAGUUUGAUCAUGGCUCAGAACGAACGUUGGCGGCGUGGAUCAGGCAUGCAAGUCGAACGACCGUAGCAAUACGGGAGUGGCGAAAGGGGCAGUAAGACAUGGGCAACCUACCCCCGGGACCGGCAUAGCCGGCCUAACGGCCGGGUAACACCGGGCGGCCCCGAGACCAGGCAUCUGGUUUCGGGUAAAGCUCCGGCGUCCGGGGAGGGGCUCAUGCGGUAUCAGCUAGUUGGUGGGGUAACGGCCCACCAAGGCUUGGACGCCUAGCGGGUGUGAGAGCACGACCCGCGCCACUGGCACUGCGACACUGGCCAGACUCCUACGGGAGGCUGCAGUCGAGGAUCUUCGGCAAUGGGCGAAAGCCUGACCGAGCGACGCCGCGUGCGCGACGAAGGCCUUCGGGUUGUAAAGCGCGAAGGGGGAGAGGAAGGGCAACUUGACCGAUCCCCAGUAAGCACGGGCUAAGUUCGUGCCAGCAGCCGCGGUAAUAC